rnacentral:rRNA from 1 species
GAUGAACGCUGGCGGCGUGCCUAAUACAUGCAAGUCGAGCGAAUGGAUUAAGAGCUUGCUCUUAUGAAGUUAGCGGCGGACGGGUGAGUAACACGUGGGUAACCUGCCCAUAAGACUGGGAUAACUCCGGGAAACCGGGGCUAAUACCGGAUAACAUUUUGAACCGCAUGGAUCGAAAUUGAAAGGCGGCUUCGGCUGUCACUUAUGGAUGGACCCGCGUCGCAUUAGCUAGUUGGUGAGGUAACGGCUCACCAAGGCGACGACGGGUAGCCGGCCUGAGAGGGUGACCGGCCACACUGGGACUGAGACACGGCCCAGACUCCUACGGGAGGCAGCAGUAGGGAAUCUUCCGCAAUGGACGAAAGUCUGACGGAGCAACGCCGCGUGAGUGAUGAAGGCUUUCGGGUCGUAAAACUCUGUUGUUAGGGAAGAACAAGUGCUAGUUGAAUAAGCUGGCACCUUGACGGUACCUAACCAGAAAGCCACGGCUAACUACGUGCCAGCCGCCGCCGUAA